GAUGAACGCUGGCGGCGUGCCUAAUACAUGCAAGUCGAGCGAACAGACGUGGAGCUUGCUCCUCUGACGUUAGCGGCGGACGGGUGAGUAACACGUGGAUAACCUACCUAUAAGACUGGGAUAACUUCGGGAAACCGGAGCUAAUACCGGAUAAUAUAUUGAACCGCAUGGUUCAAUAGUGAAAGACGGUUUUGCUGUCACUUAUAGAUGGAUCCGCGCCGCAUUAGCUAGUUGGUAAGGUAACGGCUUACCAAGGCAACGAUGCGUAGCCGACCUGAGAGGGUGAUCGGCCACACUGGAACUGAGACACGGUCCAGACUCCUACGGGAGGCAGCAGUAGGGAAUCUUCCGCAAUGGGCGAAAGCUUGACGGAGCAACGCCGCGUGAGUGAUGAAGGUCUUCGGAUCGUAAAACUCUGUUAUUAGGGAAGAACAAAUGUGUAAGUAACUAUGCACGUCUUGACGGUACCUAAUCAGAAAGCCACGGCUAACUACGUG
rnacentral:rRNA from 1 species